UUAUCGAUAACCAUAAAACUGCUCAUGUAUUAUAAGAGGAAAUUCGAAAAACCCUUCGACACAAAAGUUAUUCAUCACAUCAAAUCUCCAACAUUGUACAGUAGAGUAGACGAUCUAUCACCAUGCAUCAUUCAAGUUUCACACACAAACAUAAAUAGAAGCUUCUAAAUUCAUAAGCAUACAAUAAGAUAAGAGAGACUAUUGUAAUUUUUGUCUCAUUUAUUGUCUAGGUACUCUUCCAUGCUUGCACUUCUCACAAAUAGAUGGGCCAUCCGUGCCAGCUAAUUG
rnacentral:lncRNA from 1 species